AAAUUGAAGAGUUUGAUCAUGGCUCAGAUUGAACGCUGGCGGCAGGCCUAACACAUGCAAGUCGAACGGUAACAGGAAGCAGCUUGCUGCUUCGCUGACGAGUGGCGGACGGGUGAGUAAUGUCUGGGAAACUGCCUGAUGGAGGGGGAUAACUACUGGAAACGGUAGCUAAUACCGCAUAACGUCGCAAGACCAAAGAGGGGGACCUUCGGGCCUCUUGCCAUCGGAUGUGCCCAGAUGGGAUUAGCUAGUAGGUGGGGUAACGGCUCACCUAGGCGACGAUCCCUAGCUGGUCUGAGAGGAUGACCAGCCACACUGGAACUGAGACACGGUCCAGACUCCUACGGGAGGCAGCAGUGGGGAAUAUUGCACAAUGGGCGCAAGCCUGAUGCAGCCAUGCCGCGUGUAUGAAGAAGGCCUUCGGGUUGUAAAGUACUUUCAGCGGGGAGGAAGGGAGUAAAGUUAAUACCUUUGCUCAUUGACGUUACCCGCAGAAGAAGCACCGGCUAACUCCGUGCCAGCAGCCGCGGUAAUACGGAGGGUGCAAGCGUUAAUCGGAAUUACUGGGCGUAAAGCGCACGCAGGCGGUUUGUUAAGUCAGAUGUGAAAUCCCCGGGCUCAACCUGGGAACUGCAUCUGAUACUGGCAAGCUUGAGUCUCGUAGAGGGGGGUAGAAUUCCAGGUGUAGCGGUGAAAUGCGUAGAGAUCUGGAGGAAUACCGGUGGCGAAGGCGGCCCCCUGGACGAAGACUGACGCUCAGGUGCGAAAGCGUGGGGAGCAAACAGGAUUAGAUACCCUGGUAGUCCACGCCGUAAACGAUGUCGACUUGGAGGUUGUGCCCUUGAGGCGUGGCUUCCGGAGCUAACGCGUUAAGUCGACCGCCUGGGGAGUACGGCCGCAAGGUUAAAACUCAAAUGAAUUGACGGGGGCCCGCACAAGCGGUGGAGCAUGUGGUUUAAUUCGAUGCAACGCGAAGAACCUUACCUGGUCUUGACAUCCACGGAAGUUUUCAGAGAUGAGAAUGUGCCUUCGGGAACCGUGAGACAGGUGCUGCAUGGCUGUCGUCAGCUCGUGUUGUGAAAUGUUGGGUUAAGUCCCGCAACGAGCGCAACCCUUAUCCUUUGUUGCCAGCGGUCCGGCCGGGAACUCAAAGGAGACUGCCAGUGAUAAACUGGAGGAAGGUAGGGAUGACGUCAAGUCAUCAUGGCCCUUACGACCAGGGCUACACACGUGCUACAAUGGCGCAUACAAAGAGAAGCGACCUCGCGAGAGCAAGCGGACCUCAUAAAGUGCGUCGUAGUCCGGAUUGGAGUCUGCAACUCGACUCCAUGAAGUCGGAAUCGCUAGUAAUCGUGGAUCAGAAUGCCACGGUGAAUACGUUCCCGGGCCUUGUACACACCGCCCGUCACACCAUGGGAGUGGGUUGCAAAAGAAGUAGGUAGCUUAACCUUCGGGAGGGCGCUUACCACUUUGUGAUUCAUGACUGGGGUGAAGUCGUAACAAGGUAACCGUAGGGGAACCUGCGGUUGGAUCACCUCCUUA
rnacentral:rRNA from 1 species